rnacentral:ncRNA from 1 species
GAUGAAUACCUAAAAGGGAAUCAGGUGAAAGUCCUGAACAGAUCCCGCUGCUGUAAGUUCAUUGAUGGUUUUACACAAAACUUUUGCCACUGGAUAAUAAAAUCCGGGAAGGUGUGUAAACGGAACAAGUCAGAAAACCUGCCUUUACAAAUAA